GAUCCCUGGCUCAGAUUGAACGCUGGCGGCAUGCCUUACACAUGCAAGUCGAACGGUAACAGGUCUUUCGGGAUGCUGACGAGUGGCGAACGGGUGAGUAAUACAUCGGAACGUGCCUAGUAGUGGGGGAUAACUACUCGAAAGAGUGGCUAAUACCGCAUGAGAUCUAUGGAUGAAAGCAGGGGACCUUCGGGCCUUGUGCUACUAGAGCGGCCGAUGGCAGAUUAGGUAGUUGGUGGGAUAAAAGCUUACCAAGCCUACGAUCUGUAGCUGGUCUGAGAGGACGAUCAGCCACACUGGGACUGAGACACGGCCCAGACUCCUACGGGAGGCAGCAGUGGGGAAUUUUGGACAAUGGGGGAAACCCUGAUCCAGCAAUGCCGCGUGCAGGAUGAAGGCCUUCGGGUUGUAAACUGCUUUUGUACGGAACGAAAAGUC
rnacentral:rRNA from 1 species